ACGCUUCUCCUAAAGACUAAGCCAUGCAUGCUUUCGAAUAAGAGGAAGCAAUUCUCUCUGAAUCUGCGAACGGCUCCGCACACCAGUUGUAAACUAUAGCAAGCAUGUCCGGUAUCCGGCCUUCACGGGCUGGGUGUCGGGCGAUAAGGAUAACCCUGGUAAUUCUGAGGCUAAUACUAGACCGUAAUCCCUGGCUGACCGGGUAACUGGGAGGUUGGGGGACGUGUAAUUGGUCGCAAGGAUGACCGGGAAAGAAAUG
rnacentral:rRNA from 1 species